rnacentral:rRNA from 1 species
GGCCUAACACAUGCAAGUCGAGCGCGCCUUCGGGUGAGCGGCGGACGGGUUAGUAACGCGUGGGAACGUACCCUUCUCUACGGAAUAGCCUUUGGAAACGAAGAGUAAUACCGUAUACGCCCUUUGGGGGAAAGAUUUAUCGGAGAAGGAUCGGCCCGCGUUAGAUUAGAUAGUUGGUGGGGUAAUGGCCUACCAAGUCUACGAUCUAUAGCUGGUUUUAGAGGAUGAUCAGCAACACUGGGACUGAGACACGGCCCAGACUCCUACGGGAGGCAGCAGUGGGGAAUCUUAGACAAUGGGCGCAAGCCUGAUCUAGCCAUGCCGCGUGAGUGAUGAAGGCCUUAGGGUCGUAAAGCUCUUUCGCCUGUGAUGAUAAUGACAGUAGCAGGUAAAGAAACCCCGGCUAACUCCGUGCCAGCAGCCGCGGUAAUACGGAGGGGGUUAGCGUUGUUCGGAAUUACUGGGCGUAAAGCGCACGUAGGCGGAUUGGAAAGUUGGGGGUGAAAUCCCGGGGCUCAACCCCGGAACUGCCUCCAAAACUAUCAGUCUAGAGUUCGAGAGAGGUGAGUGGAAUUCCAAG